rnacentral:rRNA from 1 species
GACGAACGCUGGCGGCGUGCCUAAUACAUGCAAGUAGAACGCACAGUUUAUACCGUAGCUUGCUACACCAUAGACUGUGAGUUGCGAACGGGUGAGUAACGCGUAGGUAACCUGCCUGGUAGCGGGGGAUAACUAUUGGAAACGAUAGCUAAUACCGCAUAAUAUUAAUUAUUGCAUGAUAAUUGAUUAAAAGGUGCAAUUGCACCACUACCAGAUGGACCUGCGUUGUAUUAGCUAGUAGGUGAGGUAACGGCUCACCUAGGCGACGAUACAUAGCCGACCUGAGAGGGUGAUCGGCCACACUGGGACUGAGACACGGCCCAGACUCCUACGGGAGGCAGCAGUAGGGAAUCUUCGGCAAUGGACGAAAGUCUGACCGAGCAACGCCGCGUGAGUGAAGAAGGUUUUCGGAUCGUAAAGCUCUGUUGUAAGAGAAGAACGGGUGUGAGAGUGGAAAGUUCCCA